UACGGGGGGAGCAAGCGUUGUUCGGAUUUACUGGGCGUAAAGGGCGCGUAGGCGGCCAGUGCAAGUCAGUUGUGAAAUCUCCGAGCUUAACUCGGAAAGGUCAACUGAUACUGCUCGGCUAGAGUGCGGAAGGGGCAACUGGAAUUCUUGGUGUAGCGGUGAAAUGCGUAGAUAUCAAGAGGAACACCUGCGGCGAAGGCGGCAUUCUGGACUGCAACUGACACUGAAAGACGAAAGCCAGGGGAGCAAACGGG
rnacentral:rRNA from 1 species